rnacentral:lncRNA from 1 species
CAGAUGGUCUGCGUUCGAGGACGCCGCCUUGGCUGCACCACGUCUCCACUCAGAAGAGUAAAGAGCAUCUCUAGACAACAACUGCUUUGAAUGUCUUCUGGAUGGCCUCUUAUGCGAGAAAUUCAGCAUCGCCACAUUGCUGUAAACCAAGC